rnacentral:rRNA from 1 species
ACUCAAAUGAAUUGACGGGGGCCCGCACAAGCGGUGGAGUAUGUGGUUUAAUUCGACGCAACGCGAAGAACCUUACCUGGGCUCGAACGGCUAAUGACAGGGGGCGAAAGUUCUUUUUCCCGCAAGGGACAUUAGUCGAGGUGCUGCAUGGCUGUCGUCAGCUCGUGUCGUGAGAUGUUGGGUUAAGUCCCGCAACGAGCGCAACCCUUGCCUUUAGUUGCUAACACGUUAUGGUGAGCACUCUAGAGGGACUGCCGGUGAAAAACCGGAGGAAGGUGGGGAUGACGUCAAGUCCUCAUGGCCUUUAUGUCCAGGGCUACACACGUACUACAAUGGGCGGCACAAUGAGUCGCAAACCUGCAAAGGGGAGCCAAUCUCAAAAAACCGUUCUCAGUUCGGAUUGGAGUCUGCAACUCGACUCCAUGAAGCUGGAAUCGCUAGUAAUCGCUGAUCAGCAAGCAGCGGUGAAUACGUUCCCGGGCCUUGUACACACCGCCCGU